CACGUAGGGCGCAAGCGUUGUCCGGAAUUAUUGGGCGUAAAGAGCUCGUAGGUGGUUUGUUACGUCUGCUGUGAAAACCUAGGGCUUAACCCUGGGCUUGCAGUGGAUACGGGCAGACUAGAGGCAGGUAGGGGAGAAUGGAAUUCCUGGUGUAGCGGUGGAAUGCGCAGAUAUCAGGAGGAACACCAAUAGCGAAGGCAGCUCGCUGGGACGUUACUGACACUGAGGCGCGAAAGCGUGGGGAGCGAACAGG
rnacentral:rRNA from 1 species